ACCUUUUCAAUCAAAAUCAAACAAACAUUUCAAUAAUCCCCAUGUUCGUAUUUCGAAAGUAAAAGGGAUCCGGAUGAUAGGCAAUUAAAAAAAAAAGAAUUCUUCCUAAAUUGUCUAUUUUGAUGAACCAGCUCUUACUAGAGUUAUAAACGGACAAUGAGGGACAAGGAACCCCUUUUGUUUUCUGUAUUUGCUUGUUUUUAUUUCCC
rnacentral:lncRNA from 1 species